rnacentral:rRNA from 1 species
UGGGGGAAACCCUGAUCCAGCCAUGCCGCGUGAGUGAUGAAGGCCCUAGGGUUGUAAAACUCUUUCGGCGGGGACGAUAAUGACGGUACCCGCAGAAGAGGCUCCGGCUAACUUCGUGCCAGCAGCCGCGGUAAUA